AUUGAACGCUGGCGGCAUGCCUUACACAUGCAAGUCGAACGGUAACAGGUCUUCGGUUGCUGUCGAGCGGUGAACGGGUGAGUAAUACAUCGGAACGUGCCCCGUCGCGGGGGAUCACGAGGCGAAAGCUUUGAUAAUACCGCAUACGAUCUAAGAAUGAAAGCCGCGGACCGCAAGACCUUGCGCGUUUUGUGCGGUCGAUGGUAGAUUAGGUAGUUGGUGGGGUAAAAGCUUACCAAGGCGACGAUGCGUAGCUGGUCUGAGAGGACGACCAGCCACACUGGAACUGAGACACGGCCCAGACUCCUACGGGAGGCAGCAGUAGGGAAUUUUGGGCAAAGGGCGAAAGCCUGAUCCAGCAAUGCCGCGUGCAUGAUGAAGGCCUUCGGAUUGUAAACCUCUUUUAUUCGGGACGAAAAAGUUCGUGAGAAAAUCUGGGGGACAUGACGGUACCGUAAGAGUAAGCACCGGCUAACUACGUG
rnacentral:rRNA from 1 species